rnacentral:rRNA from 1 species
AACGAACGCUGGCGGCAGGCCUAACACAUGCAAGUCGAACGCCGUAGCAAUACGGAGUGGCAGACGGGUGAGUAACACGUGGGAACGUACCUUUCGGUUCGGAAUAACUCAGGGAAACUUGAGCUAAUACCGGAUACGUGCGAGAGCAGAAAGAUUUAUCGCCGAAAGAUCGGCCCGCGUCCGAUUAGCUAGUUGGUGAGGUAAUGGCUCACCAAGGCGACGAUCGGUAGCUGGUCUGAGAGGAUGAUCAGCCACACUGGGACUGAGACACGGCCCAGACUCCUACGGGAGGCAGCAGUGGGGAAUAUUGGACAAUGGGCGAAAGCCUGAUCCAGCCAUGCCGCGUGAGUGAUGACGGCCUUAGGGUUGUAAAGCUCUUUCGCCAGGGACGAUAAUGACGGUACCUGGAUAAGAAGCCCCGGCUAACUUCGUGCCAGCAGCCGCGGUAAGGUCGUCAUGU